GACGAACGCUGGCGGCGCGCUUAAUACAUGCAAGUCGAACGAGAAGCCAGAGCUUGCUCUGGUGGAAAGUGGCGAACGGGUGAGUAACACGUGAGAAACCUGCCCAAAGAUUGGGAUAAGCCUUGGAAACGAGGUCUAAUACCAAAUACCUUCCUUUUAACACAUGUUAAAAAGAGAAAUGCUCCGGCGCUUUGGGAUGGUCUCGCGAUCUAUCAGCUUGUUGGUGAGGUAACGGCUCACCAAGGCAUCGACGGAUAGCUGGUCUGAGAGGAUGUCCAGCCACAUUGGAACUGAGACACGGUCCAAACUCCUACGGGAGGCAGCAGUAGGGAAUCUUGCACAAUGAGGGAAACCUUGAUGCAAGCGACGCCGCGUGCGGGACGAAGGCCCUAGGGUUGUAAACCGCUUUCAGUAGGGACGAAAGUGACGGUACCUACAGAAGAAGCCCCGGCCAAC
rnacentral:rRNA from 1 species